ensembl:lncRNA
CAAUCGCCUUGUGAAGGAAACGUACUCUUACUCCUUCUGCAGAUGUGGAGACAGAGGCAGAAAAAAAGCCAUGCCCAAAGUGACACAGGUUUGAACUGAAACAUUAGCUCUUCCUGGGUCUCAAGCCUGUGGGCCUCCAGACUGGAAGUACACCGUUGGCUCUCCUGGGAUCUCCAGCUUGCCAAUUUACCCUGCGGAUCUUGGGAUUUGCCAGCUGCCAUAAUUUUGUAGGGAAAACCAGAAGCACAAGAGGGUUAGAGUCCCUGGAAGCAGCGCUCCCACCUCAACCAAUGGUGAAUAGGAGGUGAUAAAUAGCCCAGCGUCAUCACCCAAUGGCAGUACCACUUGGAAGCAAGCUCUGCAAUAUGUCCCAGAGUUCUCAGGUAGGACUGAGCCCCAAGAAUUACCCAGCAUGAUAACGCAGCUGUUAUUACCUUCCUUCUUUGCCCAAUCUCACUUCCCCACUCCUCUACCAGUUGUCCUGGGAUUGUCUACAAAUAGAGCUCUUGCAUGCUCAUCCUGGUCUCAGAGUCUGCUUCUAGGAGAAUCACAGCUAAAGUAGCGACUCUUCUUUCAGAGCAGGGCUGCAUUCAGCCAAAGUCUGACAUGUAGUUGGACUUGGUAAAUGUUGAACAAAUGAAUUAAUGAAUAAAUAAAUGAAUGGUGAGGUGUGAAUGACUGAUAGCACACUUCUACCGUACGUUUUUUUUUUCCUUAAACACAAAAUGCCUCUAAAUAAUCACAUUUUGGAGGAGAAAAUUAUAAUCUGGGAAAUAACUGACAGGUGAUUUGGCCUCUGGGAAAUGGGAGAUACCAAGCCUGGCCUGGGAGGAAAAGAAGAAGCUGUGUUAAUAGCCUCACCUUCUCCCUUUCCUACACUGGAUCAUCCUCCCCUAUUGUAUCUACAAUGACCCCAAUAACAGCCUGCCAUUCCUCUGUGGCAAUUUUGAUCAGAUUCAAAGAUUUCUUGGAGAAUGUAUUAUCAAGAUAAAGACUAAGGAGACCUGACAAAUUGUAUGUAGUUCUCACAAAAGUAGUGGCAUCUAUUUAUUCAUUUCUUCAAUUCAUUUUUGUAAAUGCAUUCAUUCAAUAAUUUACUUAUUCAUUAAUUUUUUCAUUCAUUAAUUGAUUAAUUCCCUCCCUCCUUCACUGACUCAAAAACUUUUGUUCAGAAGAACAGGUAAUUAAGCACAUGGUCCCUAGAGACCGAAUUCUUUGGUUGGCAUCCUGGCUGUAUGAUCUUGGGCGAAAUACUUAACCUAUCUGUGCUUCCAUCUCUUCAUGUGUACAAUGGGUAUAAAUGGUAUCUUUUGUUGAGCAGAUUACGUGAAUAGUGCCUAGAACAGUGACUGCAUACAACCAGCGGCAUAGCAGUAGUCACCUAUCCUGCUUCUUGAACCGUCAGUCUGUGCUGGGUAUUGUUCACUCCUCAUACACUUUAUGUUUCACUUUCAUUUUUGUAUUUCUAGUUUUCCUCUCCAUAACAGAAAAACUGCAUCAGCCUGAGGGAACUUAGUUUCCCCACUUCCUGAUCAGUCCUGAAAUUUUAACCUCGCAUAUCUCUAUCCUGACUGCUCCUAGUGGGCAAGCGUGUCCACUUCACCUUUCCAACUCUGCUUGCCCAGAGCCUUCAACUGCACUUUAGCUGUCUCAAGUCUCCCUGCCCUCUUUCGGUUUCCAACAGUUCCUGCUUCACUUCUGCUCCUCCCACAAAGCUCAACCCUUUCUGCUGGGUGUGAGGAGAUUAACCAAGAAAAACAGAUGACGCAAACAGCUUCCAAGGAGGAGUUCAUUUUGGAGGCUCUACUGUUUAGAUGGUACUUUUCCCCUCUUCUUCGCUUACAACAACCCUAACUUGGCUUCCACUCUGACACCUAAUUAGGUCACCUCUUGUUCUAUGGAGCUCUAAGUAUUGUGUCCUUAUCCCAGGAAGCAGGAAGAUGAUAAGGUAUUAGGGGAAAAAGGAUGUAACUUCCAGGUAAGUGAGCUCCCCUUAAGGAGUUUUCUCAGAGGUCCCACAUACAACUUGAACUUACAUCUUGUUGAAGAGGACUUAGUCAUCUUGUCCCGCCUAGCUGCCAGGAAGUCUGGGAAAUGUAACCAUUCAUCUGGGUGUAUCACCACCUUGAAUAACCAGGGGGUCUGCUACUAAGGCAAAAGGGGACAGAUGAUAUUGGGUACCAUCAAAUAUUUUCUCUUUAGCUCCCCAACAUCCCAACCUACAUUUUUCCAUAUGUAGAAUGUAACACCUCUCCAAGAGAGAAGACUCCAAUAUCUCAUCCAGGUACCGUAUUUUGUUGAAAUCUAGGAUCUCAGAAGAUGUGUAGUUCUCUCCACCAGAUCCGAUUAUGUCUCCUUGAACUCCAUUGACCUAUAAACUAAAAUAACCUAUCUGCUUCUCACUUCCCACACACCCAACAAUCGGUGGUGAAGCAGAAACAGUAUACCUGCAGAAUGAACCCCCAUUUUGUAAAGGGGAGGAUGGGACAACCACAGCAGCCACCAGUUCAUGGACAACGACAACUCCCAUGGGGCAGGCCCUUGUUUAAAAACUUAGAAGGUUUUGUUCUAUAUGCUUCUGGAAAGUUUCAUGAACAAGUAACCACUGCCAAAAAUCUUAUCCAGCUAGAGGUUGUAAACCUGAAGGCUCUUGGAUUUUACUUACAGAUCUCUGUGUUCAGUCCAUUCUUCUCUCCCAACUUGAUAGCCAUCAGAAACAAUAGGCUUUGGUCAGGAAGCAAUUCACUAAUUCCCAUUUUACCAACACACCUAUUUAAUGCCAAAAUUUCAGCUGUUGCACCUGCUAAUAAUGAAUUCUGGUUAGCUAAUAAUCUUUAAGGUUUUCAGCUAUCUAGAUGACAGUCUGUAGGCAAAGCAAAACUGUACUUCCUAUGAUUUCUUCUUGUAAAUUGAUAGGUGUUUGACUUUAUUUCAUGUGGAACUUUGCUAAAAGUGUCAGAUGAUGUUGUCACAAACCAACUGUGGUAGGCAGCCUCUAAGAUGGUCCCCAAUGAUCCCCACCUCCUGGUAUUUACUUAUAUAAUCUACUUAUCUUGAGUGUGGGCUGGAUUUAGUGACUCACUAUUUAUUAAAAGAAUGUAGCAGAGGUGAUGGAUGCCACUUGUGAGAUUAGGAUUUGGGUGCUUUCUCUCUCUCUCACUCUAUCACUUGCUCUCUCUAAGGGUAACCAGCUGCCAUGUUCUGAGCUACCCUCUGGAGAGCUCCCAUGGCAAGAAAUUAAGGGAGGACUUUGAUCAAUAUCCACAGGAACUGAGACUUUUAGUCCGAUAGGCUCUGUAGAACUGAAUCCUGCUUAUAACUAUGUCAGUGAGCUUGUAAGUGGAUCUCAGUCGAGCCUUAGAUGAAACUGAAGCCCUCGGUGGUACCUUGAUUGCAACCCUAAAAGAAAUCUUGCUCAAGAGGGACUCAGCUUAUCCACACUGGGAAAGACAGAAGAAAGCAUACAGAGAAACAAAUAACCAAGAGAAAAAAAGUUGGAUCUUCAACCAGUGGGCAAGAGAAUUCCAGGAAGAGACAUCAUAUUGUGCAAAGGUAUGAAGUUGUGGAGAGCAUGGCACAAUCUGAGACCAAGAGUCCACUGGUGAUGUGACAGCAUAGAUCACAGGGUAGGGAAAUGGCUGAGGCUGCAGGGACGAGCUGUGGACAAAGAGCUGAGGGCUGUCCUGCUAGUCAGGAUUCUUUUCCAUCACAGAAACCUAGCCAGAGAAUUGAAAUAGGAUGGGCUUUUGGGCACAGAAUGGGUAUGGGCAGAAAAGGACUUGGCCCCAGAGAAAUGGACCCAAGAUCAAAGACAUCUUAUUGCAAAGAUGAAAUGUCCCCAUGUAGUGAGAAAUACGUCAUUGAUAAUCUAGGAUUAUUUCUUUCCAACCUAAUGACUUGAAAUAAAAGGAACUCUUCUGUUAGAAAAGAAUAAAUCCCAGGGAACACUGACUGGCUUUGAUUGGGUCAUGUGAUCUUCCUACAUCAGCAAUCACUGUGACUAGGGGAUGGGGAAAUCUGAUGGACUUGACUUGGCUUACUUACCCAUAUGUAUCUAUGGUGGGGUCAGGGUCUGUUUACCGAAGAAGGAGGUGAAAGGAUCCUGGCCACACUGAAACCAAGUAAUAGUCCCAGAGCCUUGACUGCUAUGCUAGGGAGUUUGGGUUUCAUCUGAGGCUGGCAGAAAUCAUUUUUAGGUUUUAAGAACAGAGAUGAAAUACUCAGAUGUAUGUUUGGAAAGAGCACCCCAGGCUCAGCGGGGAGAGAUGGUUGAGUAGAUGGAGUCUGGAAGACCCAUUGUGAUGCUAAUGGCAUAAUCCAAGUAAGGCUUUAGAACGGGGCUGUGCACAUGUUGCUGGGAGUGUGUGAGGAUUUAAGAGAGAACAGAGGACAUUGAUGUUUCCUAUCAGGUUCCAAGUGGAGAAAGAUGAGAACACACUAGCCACUGUGUGAAUCGUUGACAAGGUGAAUUGUUGAAAAGGUCUUUUAAGAGGUCAUUCAGGUUCAACAAUUGGCCAGUAUCCUAGACUUAUUUAUGAUUUUACUGAAGCUAAAUUGGCGCAAGGUGCAGAAAACUUGCUUUUCUGAUUGGGAUGAUAAUAUUUCAGUUUAACAGAUAUGCAACACCCACUAUGUGCCACGCCCAAAGCUUUUUGUAUUUUUCAAGAUGGGUAAAACAAGUCUCUGCCAGAACAAAGUAGCUUAAUAAUCCCAAGUUUGUAAAGAACACAUUGUAUGUCUACCCAUUAUCUCCUUCAAUCUUUACCAUAGGCCUAUGGAGAAGCACAGAAGACAUCCUGACCUCCAUUACACACUUUCUAUGAGAAGUGAACUGACUUUCUCAGUCCCUUUGGGAGAAUCUUCUUCAGUCCUGCCCACUCUGGUCUCCUGAAACCCACACAUCUUGGCUUUUUUCUAUGCCAUGAGAACUAAGGGAUUCCCUUAGGCAGCUGUGGGCUGGUAAAUGUUGAGCAGCAGAUGCUCUGAGCAGUGUUUGCUGAUUGUCGUGGUGUGAAUACUCGCACCAUGGCAAUUUAGUGUGACAUCACUGAACAUAGAAUUGGAAAGAGUUGUGCACGAUGAGUUCUCUUGAAUCUGAAGUUUCAGUGGUCUCAACAGCCAAUCCAAACUGGACCCUGGAGGGCAGAGUGGAAAGCCAUCCUCUUGGAGUUUGGUCUAUGUGAUCUGUUAUGGGUUGAAUUGUGUCCCCCACAAAAAUAUAUGGAAAUCCUAAUCACCAAGUCAUCAGAAUGUUACCUUAUUUGGAAAAAGGGUCAUCGUAGAUGUAGUUAGUUAAGAUGAGGUCAUACUGGAGUAGGGUGGGCCUCUAAUCCAGUAUGACUGGUGUCCUUGAAAGAAGACAACCAUGUGAAGAUACAGAGACACAGAGAGAAGGUUAUGUGAAGAUGGAAGCAGAGGUUGGAGUGAUGCAUUUACAGGCUGAGGAACUCCUGAGGCUGCUAGAAGCUGGAAGAAAUAAGGAUGGAUUAUCCCCUAGGGGUUUCAGAGGGAGUAAGGCUCUACUAAUACCUUGAGUUUAGAUUCUAGCCUCCAGAUCUGUGAGACAACACGUUUCUGUUGUUUUAACUCACCCACUUUGUGGCACGAAUGGUCCCUGUCUUUUCUCCUACCCUGCACCACCUGGUUUGAAAUACUGCUGCCUUGGGCAAAAUCCCACUGUGUUUGUGUUUUAUGGUUCCAGUGUUCUUUCAUUCCAGUCCUUCUCCAUCUGGAUCAUAUUACAGGAAUCUAGUGCAAUGAGCUAAAAUAUGGGAGAGUCCAUUGCCUUAAAGAGAUAAGAAAGUCAUCUUAUCAGCUAUAAUUAGUUGAAUACAUACUAGGUCUCAGAUGCUAUACUAGGUGUUUGUCAUGUGUUGCCACAUUUAAUUUAAUCUUAACGAUAAGCCUAUGAUUAGGCAUAAUUAUCCUUAUUCUACAAAUGGGGAGACAGAAGCUCAGUGAUAUUAGGUAACUUGCCUAAGGUCACAGAGCUAGUUAAGGACUGCAGGGUUGUCAACUCAGGUGUGGUAGACUGAGAUUCUGCACAACAUCUUAGCACUCCACCCUGUGGCCAAUUUGUGGGAGCCUCAAUGGGCUACCACUGCACAAACACCUCAGCAAUUGCCCCAUCUGGACCCAGAGAUAAAGUAUGAUCUGAGGACAGAGGAAGAAGAUGGAGGAUGGUUAGAGAAAUCAGGUCAAUUGAAUGAGUAACCCUGAAUCCCUUUGGUAAGCUUAUCUACAUCUAGUGGUUGCCAUUUGCACGUGGCAAUAAUAAUGAUAUGCCCUCAGUGAUAGUGUAUUAACCUUAAUUCCUUAUAUGUGUACAACACUGAACCUCUGUGAUGGGUUUUUACUUGAAUGGCUCUCAUCACUUCUCAGGCUGUGGAGCCAGAGAGAUCUGGGUUCGCAUUAACCAGUGGUCACAUCUUGAGCAAGUUGCUUUAUCAUUCGUGAGUAAUGAUUCACUUCCCUCACUUGGAACCUUGUAAGGGUGUUGGAAGGACUAAAUGAGGUAAUGUGGAGUGGGUCCAGUAUAUAGCAGAUAUUAGUGGAGCAAGUUUAUUCUUCCUGUUUGUGUGAGAAAGGAGUUUUCCCCAGUACUUCUGGCCUCUGGAGCAGUAUGUAGGUCCAUGCCCAGGAUCCAAACCGGCAAACCCUGGGCCGCAGAAGUGGAGAGCACAAACUCAACCACCAUGCCACUGGGCCAGCCCCUGCUUACCAUCUUUAUAUCCCUCUUAUAGGUUGAAUUUUGUUCUCCAAAAGAUAUGUUGAAUUCCUAACCCCUGAUACUUACGAAUGAUACCUUAUUUGGAAAUAAAGUCUUUGCAGAUGUAAUCAAGUUAAAAUAAGGUUAUUAGGAUGGGCCCUUAAUCUAACAUGACUGGUGUUCUUAUAAGAAAAGAGAAACACCAUGUAAAGACAGAAGCACACAGGAGAGAAUGUCUUGUGACCAAGGAGACAGAAAUGCUGCAGCUACAAGCCAAGGAAUGCCUGGAACUGUUGAAAAAUAAGGAGGUGGCUUUCUAUUAUCAUCUCUCUAUUCUGAGGUGAAUGAGAGACCUGGGGCCAAGAUAAAAGAAGAGCUAGGACGGUGGGGGGGGGACCCAUGUAUAUUGAGCACCUACUAUGUGUGUAUCCCCCGCUGAGUGCAUUGCAGAUGUCUCAUUUCAUCCUCACACCCCAUAAGGUGAGUGCUUUGUUCUCAUUUUCCAGAUGAGGAAACUUUAGUCAAAAAUAUUGGAUACCCAGCUCAAGGUCCCACAACGAACAAGGGACUGAGAAAAUUCCAGAGAGGUCUGUCUAAUUCCAACACCUGCCUGUGAUCUUUCUACUUUAUGCAAAGCAAUUAAGGCAAUAGGCAAAGUUUUAAGCACAGAUGGCCACUAUCAGGGGUCAUUGUAUUUGCUCUGAAAUGAGGAGAGAGGAGAGUCUUGAUGGAGCCACCCAGUUAGGUAACAGAGAGGUAGCAUAGCAGAGUGGUCAGGAUGCUGGCUCUGGAGGCCCCCUGCCUGAGCUCCACUGCCAUUCCACCUCCGCACUGACUCACUAGGUGCCUUUGCCAUGUGGCUUCAUCUCUCUAUGCCUCAGCUUCCUGGCUUGAUGUGUGGCAAUAACAGGAUCAGGGAUUAUAGAGCUGCUGUGAGGAUUAAAUGAGCAUCACAUAAAGGCACUUAGAACAAUUUGUCACACGGUGAGCAGGACAUAAAUGCUUGUUGCUGUUAUUAUUUUUUAUUAUUCUAAAAUGUGACCUGUAGAAAACCCCCCUCCCUCCCCAAAAGGCAUAAUGAUACCACCAGGAUGACUGUCUCCUAAGCAUAGCUCCCAGGACAUGCUUCUGGUCUACCCUCUGCCCCUGUGACUUCCAAAAUCUCAGCUGAGCUGGAAUAUUGUGUUUCUAAUUAGACAAGUGUCUGCUGUGUUGGCUAAUAAUGCUUUUCACAAGGCUUUUUGGUGAUGCAGGGUGAUGGCUGUAAUGUUUCAUAGCCAUUGAUAAGAACACAAUCUGGAGGGAAAGUGCUAACAUGUAAUUUGCAGUCAUGACUUCCAGCAUUAAUUAAAAAAAUGUCUCUGUGGUCCCUGAUUUCAAGGCGCUGUCUACUGCUUCUCUGAAGGGUAUUGAAAUGCUUCACCCGGAUCAGGCGCACAGGCCCUGUGCCCAGCUACUACUUCUUCCCAGCAGGACUGCCUGUCUGUGGGGAGCUCUCGGACUUCUGAAAUGUGUUCUGGGUGUCCUGUGUAAAUGGUGUGAGCUGGAAAGCUGUUACUUAAACUUGGGAGGCUUAGCUGAAGCAGAGGACGAAUGAAUCAGGGGUGAUAUGCUUUGGGGGCAUUUCAGCAUGCUUUGUUUUUCAAUUCUGGUGACUAUUUUUCUAGGACCACAAUGACCUGCUCUUACCUGACAAGCCAACUAUAUUUCCUUUCUCUCGUGGGAUGUGGUUAUCAGAAAAAUAGAUCAGAGUCAAUAGAUAGAUUUAGUCCAGCUUUGAGGAUUUUGCUCAUCAAGUAUCAUGCAUAGGGGUGAUGUGACAAUUAGGGCACAGGGAUGAGAGCUCUCUUUUUCAAAGGAAGUCGCUGCCUUUCUGGCACUGGUACAAGCAUACCUUUAUGCUUCUCUCUGCCAGGAUGGCCAGUUCUUGCAGUUAAAAAUUCCAAACACAAAGGUCUCUUAAUCCAAUGGUAAAAAGAAAAAAAAUCACAAAUUAUGCAGAAUUUGCUGGCUUUGAGGAGGAUAAAAGGGGAUCUCCAUUGGAUGUAUAGUAUGUUUGACAGCUGGAUUGAAAUUUGAAGAUAUGAUGAAAGUACAGAACAAGAAUAAAAAAAUAAUUAGAAGCUCCACAGAAAGCAAAAUAGUCUAUAAGAAUGUAAUGAUCCUCCCCAAACAAAUUAAUCUGGUAAAAAUCUGUAGAUUUCAAGACAUGAAUUUCACACAAUAGAUAGAAAAUAGGCAAAAUGGAAAAGAAAUUAUCACACAUAUAACCUGUGCAAAUAGAUUAGAAUGCAGAUACAUGCACACACACCUCUCUUCACGUCUGAUACACUCAUACAAAUGAAAGGGCUCGUAAACACUGCUUUGUGCCUUCCAUUUUUUAAGCUUACUAUAUAUUGUGGAAUUUUCAUGUUGCUAUAUAUACCAUUCCUUUUGUAUCAUUUUGGAUAUUCUUUUUAAUGGUUUCAAUGUAUCUCAUUAUAUAAAUGUACUACAAUUUAUAUCCAUGAUCACUAUUAAUGAACAUGUAGAUUGUUUCCAGUUUAGAGCAUUUAAUUUUUUUAAUUCCUUUUCCAGGUAAUACUGCAAUGAAUGUUUUUGGCCAUCCAUUGUUAACUGUAUGUGUGGGUGUGUCUGCAGAAAAAAAUUAUUUGCAGUGGAAUUUCUGAAUUAAAGGGUAUUUUAAAAGGUAUUGACCUUUUGCCAAAUUGACCUUCAAAGUUAUGCCAAUUUGUAUUCCCAUUACCACUGUGUGAAUAUCUGUUUCCUCAAAAUCUUGCCCAAACCAUGUUUUGUAAUCUCUUUAAUUGUCACCAAUCAGUUAGGUAAAAAUAAAACAAUAUCUUG